rnacentral:miRNA from 1 species
CCGUGCUUGCCUAGCGAACUC